CAUUGCACUGUGUGUAUGUAAUGUAUUUGAAUUCAGAGUGAAAAAGCCGUUGCAAGUAGUAUCAUCCUCCUGAAUACUCUCGUUUUCUCCUGCAAAUUUACAGUAUGGGCAUCUUUUUUUAACAUCUUUCGUCAAAGAAGUGGAUUCAAAGCAAAUUGUGGCCUCAGUAUAUUGAUGUGAAAACAUGCAGAAAAUGCUACUUUCUCUCAACCUUGUAGAUGUUCCCUACUUCCCUAAGGAUCAGCAGCCUCUUGAAACAGAAUUCCUUGCGUCUAUGUUCCUUGGAUCUGAAAACAGUGCAUAAUGCAGGAGAUUCCACCCAAAAGCUAACCCACAAGUCCAAGCUGAAGUGGAAUAUUUCUACACUCACCCGAUAGCUUUACUGCUAGAGAAAGGUGGUCAUAUAGAUGUCAUUUAGAGGACACAAAAGACGUAAAGAUCAUGUAAGGAUAAAAGGUACAUCGAAAUGACCAGUAAGAUGUAAAUAUCACGUCAAAAUUUGAUGUCCAUACAACGUAUUCACGACGUCUGUAGGACGUCUUUCUUGGGUAAAAGUUGACGUCUUAAAGACGUCUUUCUUGGACCAAUAAGACCA
rnacentral:lncRNA from 1 species